CCUACGGGUGGCUGCAGUGAGGAAUAUUGCGCAAUGGGGGCAACCCUGACGCAGCGACGCCGCGUGAGUGAGGAAGGCCUUCGGGUCGUAAAGCUCUGUCAAAGGGGAAGAAGUGCAUGGUGGUUAAUAUCUGUCAUGUUUGACGGUACCCUUAAAGGAAGCACCGGCUAACUCCGUGCCAGCAGCCGCGGUAAUACGGAGGGUGCAAGCGUUGUUCGGAAUCACUGGGCGUAAAGGGCGCGCAGGCGGUUUGAAUAGUCAGAUGUGAAAGCCCACGGCUUAACCGUGGAAGUGCAUUUGAAACUGUCAGACUUGAGUACCAGAGGGGAAAGUGGAAUUCCCGGUGUAGAGGUGAAAUUCGUAGAUAUCGGGAGGAAUACCGGUGGCGAAGGCGACUUUCUGGCUGGAUACUGACGCUGAGGCGCGAAAGCGUGGGGAGCAAACAGGCUUAGAUACCCCAGUAGUC
rnacentral:rRNA from 1 species